rnacentral:sRNA from 1 species
CGAGCAGUGUCUGGGCGUGUGUUUCUCUCAGGCGCAAAGCUGAGGAAGACCGGGUGCGGAAGGAGGAGGAGAAGGCGCGGCGCGAGCUCAUCAAGCAGGAGUACCUGCGGAGGAAGCAGCAGCAGAUCCUAGAGGAGCAGGGGCUCGGCAAGCCCAAGUCAAAGCCGAAGAAGCCGCGGCCGAAGUCGGUGCACCGGGAAGAGUCGUGCAGCGACUCUGGCACCAAGUGCUCCUCCACCCCUGAUAACUUGAGCCGGACUCAGUCAGGCUCCAGCCUGUCCUUGGCCUCUGCGGCGACGACAGAACCCGAGAGCGUUCACUCUGGGGGCACACCCUCUCAGCGAGUGGAAUCGAUGGAAGCCCUGCCCAUACUGAGCCGUAACGCGAGCAGGAGCACAGACCGAGACUGGGAGACCGCGUCGGCGGCAUCUUCCCUGGCCUCAGUGGCUGAGUACACAGGUCCCAAGCUCUUUAAGGAGCCCAGUAGUAAAUCAAACAAACCGAUUAUUCACAAUGCCAUAUCCCAUUGCUGCCUGGCUGGAAAAGUGAAUGAACCCCACAAGAAUUCCAUAUUGGAGGAGCUGGAGAAGUGUGAUGCCAAUCACUACAUCAUACUGUUCCGUGAUGCUGGCUGCCAGUUCAGGGCGCUUUACUGCUACUAUCCUGACACUGAGGAA